CCCUUAGAUGUCCUGGGCCGCACGCGCGUUACACUGAUGCAUUCAACGAGCUUAUAACCUUGGCCGAGAGGCCUGGGCAAUCUUGUUAACGUGCAUCGUGAUAGGGAUAGAUUAUUGAAAUUAUUAAUCUUGAACGAGGAAUUCCUAGUAAACGCAGAUCAUCAAUCUGCAUUGAUUACGUCCCUGCCCUUUGUACACACCGCCCGUCGCUCCUACCGAUUGAGUGUUCCGGUGAAUUAUUCGGACUGCAACAGUUAUCUGUCGCGGAAAGUCUUGUGAACCUUAACACUUAGAGGAAGGAAAAGUCGUAACA
rnacentral:rRNA from 1 species